UACGUAGGGUGCAAGCGUUAAUCGGAAUUACUGGGCGUAAAGCGUGCGCAGGCGGUUUUGUAAGCCAGAUGUGAAAGCCCCGGGCUCAACCUGGGAACUGCGUUUGAAACUACAAAGCUAGAGUGUGGCAGAGGUGGGUGGAAUUCCGCGUGUAGCGGUGAAAUGCGUAGAGAUGGGGAGGAACACCGGUGGCGAAGGCAGCCCCCUGGGAUAACACUGACGCUCAUGCACGAAAGCGUGGGGAGCAAACAGG
rnacentral:rRNA from 1 species